AGAUGGUUGUAUGCAGUAGAUUCCCACCCCUUCUUCAUUGUAAAUUCUUAAAUAGAAGGACAAAGAUGAUUGCAAAGAAUUAAAGAGAGUUCCGGCUGGAAAAGGGCAGUUCUCUUUUAAAUGCAUCCAGCUAAGAGGUUUUUUUCAUUUUUUGUUGUUGUUUUUUUUUUUUUUUUAACAAAUGGAGCUAGACAGCAGUAUGGCCCGGUCAGAGCAUCAAGACCUGAGUCCUCAUCUGUGACCUGGUCACUGCUCAUCUUUAUGUCUCCAGCUGGAAGGAAGGGAGAAUAAAAUCACCAUCUUGGCCCUGCACAACUUUCCUGAGGAAGGGAGACACAAGAGCAAGGAGGCUCUACCAGCCUGCGUUUCCGAGGCAGCGUAGGGCACAUGAAGAAGACAAAAAGGAGUUUUGAGGCGCGUCCAGCGGGUUUCCUCUCCCCCAGCGGUGACUGGAGGCAGGGAAUCUUACACACUGGACCCGGCAUCUUUCAUGCUUCCCUGCUGUCAUUGGAUGAGUGGAGUACAAGCCUUGUUACCUCAGGCAAAAGGCUGAAAUUUCCAUAGCCUUGUAACUGGUGACAUGAAGCUUCCUACCUAUGAGGUCAGGAAUGUAGCGCUAUAUUUAAUGUUUAUACCAUUGACACGUUAGUCUUUGAACGUCCUCUCGUACAGCUGGCUUUGCCUCUGAGGUAAGAAAUGGAUUUGGGCAGAACAUGUUUUUCUCUAUACAUAUUUCUAUACAUGUACCUU
rnacentral:lncRNA from 1 species